GGGAGUCAUAGUUUCACUAAUCAGGAGGUCUAGAAGGAGUCACAACUCCACUAAUCAGGAGGUCUAGAAGGAGUCACAGCUCCACUAAUCAGGAGGUCUAGAAGGAGUCAUAGUUCCACUAAUCAGGAGGUCUAGAAGGAGUCAUAGUUCCACUAAUCAGGAGGUCUAGAAGGAGUCAUAGUACCACUAAUCAGGAGGUCUAGAAGGAGUCAUAGUACCACUAAUCAGGAGGUCUAGAAGGAGUCAUAGUACCACUAAUCAGGAGGUCUAGAAGGAGUCAUAGUUCCACUAAUCAGGAGGUCUAGAAGGAGUCAUAGUACCACUAAUCAGGAGGUCUAGAAGGAGUCAUAGUACCACUAAUCAGGAGGUCUAGAAGGAGUCAUAGUACCACUAAUCAGGAGGUCUAGAAGGAGUCAUAGUUCCACUAAUUAGGAGGUCUAGAAGGAGUCACAGUUCCACAAAUCAGGAGGUCUAGAAAAAGUCACAGUUCCGCUAAUCAGGAGGUCUAGAAGGAGUCAUAGUUCCACAAAUCAGGAGGUCUAGAAGGAGUCAUAGUUC